GCAGUCGACGCUGAAGCCUGGUGCUUGCACCGGGUGGAUGAGUGGCGAACGGGUGAGUAACACGUGAGUAACCUGCCCCUGACUUCGGGAUAAGCCCGGGAAACUGGGUCUAAUACCGGAUACGACUGCCGGACGCAUGUCUGGUGGUGGAAAGUUUUUUCGGUUGGGGAUGGGCUCGCGGCCUAUCAGUUUGUUGGUGAGGUAAUGGCUCACCAAGACGACGACGGGUAGCCGGCCUGAGAGGGCGACCGGCCACACUGGGACUGAGACACGGCCCAGACUCCUACGGGAGGCAGCAGUGGGGAAUAUUGCACAAUGGGGGAAACCCUGAUGCAGCGACGCAGCGUGCGGGAUGACGGCCUUCGGGUUGUAAACCGCUUUCAGCAGGGAAGAAGCGCAAGUGACGGUACCUGCAGAAGAAGUACCGGCUAACUACGUGCCAGCAGCCGCGGUAAUACGUAGGGUACGAGCGUUGUCCGGAAUUAUUGGGCGUAAAGAGCUCGUAGGUGGUUGGUCACGUCUGCUGUGGAAACGCAACGCUUAACGUUGCGCGUGCAGUGGGUACGGGCUGACUAGAGUGCAGUAGGGGAGUCUGGAAUUCCUGGUGUAGCGGUGAAAUGCGCAGAUAUCAGGAGGAACACCGGUGGCGAAGGCGGGACUCUGGGCUGUAACUGACACUGAGGAGCGAAAGCAUGGGGAGCGAACAGGAUUAGAUACCCUGGUAGUCCAUGCCGUAAACGUUGGGCACUAGGUGUGGGGGGCAUUCCACGUUCUCCGCGCCGUAGCUAACGCAUUAAGUGCCCCGCCUGGGGAGUACGGUCGCAAGGCUAAAACUCAAAGGAAUUGACGGGGGCCCGCACAAGCGGCGGAGCAUGCGGAUUAAUUCGAUGCAACGCGAAGAACCUUACCAAGGCUUGACAUACACCGGACCGUCCUGGAAACAGGUCCUCUUCUUUGAAGCUGGUGUACAGGUGGUGCAUGGUUGUCGUCAGCUCGUGUCGUGAGAUGUUUGGGUUAAGUCCCGCAACGAGCGCAACCCUCGUUCUAUGUUGCCAGCAUGGGGAUGGUGGGAACUCAUAGGAGACUGCCGGGGUCAACUCGGAGGAAAGGGUGGGGAUGACGUCAAAUCAUCAUGCCCUU
rnacentral:rRNA from 1 species